rnacentral:misc_RNA from 1 species
AAGUCGUAACAAGGUUUCCGUAGGUGAACCUGCGGAAGGAUCAUUCACACUUAAUUUAACAGUCUGCAUCAUUGUAUAUACGCAAGUAUAUGUAAUGUGCAGCUGCCAUACCAACACAUACCAAAAAGAACCCCUACCCCCUACCCCUAUUGCUUUUUUAAGCAAAUAUUGGGCCGCAUACGCGAGAUGGUUGGUUUCUGCUAACUAUCAGUAUCGGAUGCAGUGUCCGUGGUAGUAUCUUCGCAAGAAGGUGUGCCAUUAAUUACCAUAUUUUUUACUAUUUGCUGUUAUACUACUAUCUGACGUCAUGUGCUGAAGAUGUAAUAUAACGGUCAUGUUAUAUGAUCAUGUUAUUUAUUAGUGGCUAUGUCACUUAAUAAUUAAUAUUAUUGUACAACUCUUUGCAAUGGAUAUCUUGGUUCUC